rnacentral:rRNA from 1 species
GAGGAAUAUUGGUCAAUGGGCGAGAGCCUGAACCAGCCAAGUAGCGUGAAGGAUGACGGCCCUAUGGGUUGUAAACUUCUUUUGCGGGAGGGUAAAGUGAGCCACGUGUGGCUUAUUGCAAGUAUCCCGCGAAUAAGGAUCGGCUAACUCCGUGCCAGCAGCCGCGGUAAUACGGAGGAUCCGAGCGUUAUCCGGAUUUAUUGGGUUUAAAGGGAGCGUAGGCGGGAGUUUAAGUCAGCUGUGAAAUGCCGUGGCCCAACCAUGGAUGUGCAGUUGAAACUGGGCUUCUUGAGUGUACAUAAGGAAGGCGGAAUUCGUGGUGUAGCGGUGAAAUGCAUAGAUAUCACGAAGAACUCCGAUUGCGAAGGCAGCUUUCCGGGGUACGACUGACGCUGAAGCUCGAAAGUGCGGGAAUCAAAC